rnacentral:rRNA from 1 species
CGGAGGGUGCAAGCGUUAUCCGGAUUUACUGGGUUUAAAGGGUGCGUAGGUGGGUCUGUAAGUCAGUGGUGAAAUCUCCGGGCUUAACUCGGAAACUGCCAUUGAUACUAUAGGCCUUGAAUUAUCUGGAGGUGAGCGGAAUAUGUCAUGUAGCGGUGAAAUGCUUAGAUAUGACAUAGAACACCAAUUGCGAAGGCAGCUCACUACGGAUAUAUUGACACUGAGGCACGAAAGCGUGGGGAUCAAACAGGAUUAGAUACCCUGGUAGUCCACGCCCUAAACGAUGGAUACUCGACAUACGCGAUACACUGUGUGUGUCUGAGCGAAAGCAUUAAGUACUCCCACCUGGGAAGUACGAUCGACAAGAUUG